rnacentral:rRNA from 1 species
CCUUGCCAGCCCGCUCAGAAACUCAAAGGAAUUGACGGGGCCCGCACAAGCGGUGGAGCAUGUGGUUAAUUCGAUGAUACGCGAGGAACCUUACCUGGGCUCAAAUGUAUGUUGACGUAUUCUGAAAGGGAUACUUCUUCGGACAAUAUACAAGGUGCUGCAUGGUUGUCGUCAGCUCGUGCCGUGAGGUGUCGGGUUAAGUCCCAUAACGAGCGCAACCCUAUCAUUAGUUGCCAUCAGGUCAAGCUGGGGACUCUAAUGAAACUGCCUACGCAAGUAGUGAGGAAGGUGGGGAUGACGUCAAGUCAUCAUGGCCCUUACGGCCUGGGCUACACACGUGCUACAAUGGUCGGUACAAAGGGUUGCCAAGCCGCGAGGUGGAGCUAAUCCCAUAAAACCGAUCGUAGUCCGGAUCGCAGUCUGCAACUCGACUGCGUGAAGUCGGAAUCGCUAGUAAUCGUGAAUCAGAAUGUCACGGUGAAUACGUUCCCGGGCCUU